rnacentral:rRNA from 1 species
GGUGGAGUGAUUUGUCUGGUUAAUUCCGAUAACGAACGAGACUCUAGCCUGCUAACUAGUUCGCCGACAUCUCGUUUGUCGCGCGGCGCCGCUUCGGCGGCAAACUUCUUAGAGGGACAGGUGGCGUUUAGCCACACGAAGUAGAGCAAUAACAGGUCUGUGAUGCCCUUAGAUGUCCGGGGCCGCACGCGCGCUACACUGAAAGAAUCAACGUGGAUGCCCACCUGCUCCGAGAGGAGUGGGAAACCCGAUGAAUCUCUUUCGUGAUGGGGAUUGGGGCUUGUAAUUGUUCCCCAUGAACGAGGAAUUCCCAGUAAGCGUCAGUCAUAAGCUGGCGUUGAUUAC